rnacentral:rRNA from 1 species
UACGUAGGGGGCAAGCGUUGUCCGGAAUUAUUGGGCGUAAAGCGCGCGCAGGCGGUCAUUUAAGUCUGGUGUUUAAACCUUGGGCUCAACCUGAGGUCGCACUGGAAACUGGGUGACUUGAGUACAGAAGAGGAAAGUGGAAUUCCACGUGUAGCGGUGAAAUGCGUAGAUAUGUGGAGGAACACCAGUGGCGAAGGCGACUUUCUGGGCUGUAACUGACGCUGAGACGCGAAAGCGUGGGGAGCGAACAGG